GUCCCGGGCAGGAUAUCAUCGUAUACUGUAAGUUGGCUAUGAGACACUACAGUAUAGAUGAUGUACUCCCCGGGCUGC
rfam:Taeniopygia guttata chromosome 19, whole genome shotgun sequence.